rnacentral:rRNA from 1 species
ACGGGAGGCAGCAGUGGGGAAUAUUGCACAAUGGGGGAAACCCUGAUGCAGCGACGCCGCGUGAACGAUGAAGUAUUUCGGUAUGUAAAGUUCUAUCAGCAGGGAAGAUAAUGACGGUACCUGACUAAGAAGCACCGGCUAAAUACGUGCCAGCAGCCGCGGUAAUACGUAUGGUGCAAGCGUUAUCCGGAUUUACUGGGUGUAAAGGGUGCGUAGGUGGCAUGGCAAGUCUGAAGUGAAAUGCGGGGGCUCAACCCCUGAACUGCUUUGGAAACUGUAGCCCUUGAGUAUCGGAGAGGCAAGCGGAAUUCCUAGUGUAGCGGUGAAAUGCGUAGAUAUUAGGAGGAACACCAGUGGCGAAGGCGGCUUGCUGGACGACAACUGACGCUGAGGCGCGAAAGCGUGGGGAGCAAACAGGAUUAGAUACCCUGGUA